rnacentral:lncRNA from 1 species
GGAUGUAAUAUGACACACUGUAUACUAGAUAAUUUACUUCGUUAUAUGCAGUUGAGAAGUAUUUUCUUUAUCUAAUUACUGUAGUUUAAAAGGUGAUUAAUUAGGAUGGUAUGCAAUUGCCUAUUAUAUAAAGUUAAUUUCUCUAAAUAUUAUAGGUAGAGUUUGUCAUUAAUUUGUGCGUAAUUUUAUCUUAUUUUGUAUAAUUUUAAUUAUAACAGUUGAAAUCAAAUAUAUUAAAUCAAAUAUUGAAUUUACAUGUAAAUUAUAUUUAGAUUCAACCAAACAACACGGAAGAUGAUUGUAUUUUAUUAUUUCAAAU